rnacentral:rRNA from 1 species
AUUGUGAGCUCGAUGAGUAGGGCGGGACACGUGGUAUCCUGUCUGAAUAUGGGGGGACCAUCCUCCAAGGCUAAAUACUCCUGACUGACCGAUAGUGAACCAGUACCGUGAGGGAAAGGCGAAAAGAACCCCGGCGAGGGGAGUGAAAAAGAACCUGAAACCGUGUACGUACAAGCAGUGGGAGCCUCUUAAUGGGGUGACUGCGUACCUUUUGUAUAAUGGGUCAGCGACUUAUAUUCUGUAGCAAGGUUAACCGAAUAGGGGAGCCGAAGGGAAACCGAGUCUUAACUGGGCGUUAAGUUGCAGGGUAUAGACCCGAAACCCGGUGAUCUAGCCAUGGGCAGGUUGAAGGUUGGGUAACACUAACUGGAGGACCGAACCGACUAAUGUUGAAAAAUUAGCGGAUGACUUGUGGCUGGGGGUGAAAGGCCAAUCAAACCGGGAGAUAGCUGGUUCUCCCCGAAAGCUAUUUAGGUAGCGCCUCGUGAAUUCAUCUCCGGGGGUAGAGCACUGUUUCGGCAAGGGGGUCAUCCCGACUUACCAACCCGAUGCAAACUGCGAAUACCGGAGAAUGUUAUCACGGGAGACACACGGCGGGUGCUAACGUCCGUCGUGAAGAGGGAAACAACCCAGACCGCCAGCUAAGGUCCCAAAGUCAUGGUUAAGUGGGAAACGAUGUGGGAAGGCCCAGACAGCCAGGAUGUUGGCUUAGAAGCAGCCAUCAUUUAAAGAAAGCGUAAUAGCUCACUGGUCGAGUCGGCCUGCGCGGAAGAUGUAACGGGGCUAAACCAUGCACCGAAGCUGCGGCAGCGACACUAUGUGUUGUUGGGUAGGGGAGCGUUCUGUAAGCCUGUGAAGGUGGCCUGUGAGGGUUGCUGGAGGUAUCAGAAGUGCGAAUGCUGACAUAAGUAACGAUAAAGCGGGUGAAAAGCCCGCUCGCCGGAAGACCAAGGGUUCCUGUCCAACGUUAAUCGGGGCAGGGUGAGUCGACCCCUAAGGCGAGGCCGAAAGGCGUAGUCGAUGGGAAACAGGUUAAUAUUCCUGUACUUGGUGUUACUGCGAAGGGGGGACGGAGAAGGCUAUGUUGGCCGGGCGACGGUUGUCCCGGUUUAAGCGUGUAGGCUGGUUUUCCAGGCAAAUCCGGAAAACCAAGGCUGAGGCGUGAUGACGAGGCACUACGGUGCUGAAGCGACAAAUGCCCUGCUUCCAGGAAAAGCCUCUAAGCAUCAGGUAACAUCAAAUCGUACCCCAAACCGACACAGGUGGUCAGGUAGAGAAUACCAAGGCGCUUGAGAGAACUCGGGUGAAGGAACUAGGCAAAAUGGUGCCGUAACUUCGGGAGAAGGCACGCUGAUAUGUAGGUGAAGCGACUUGCUCGUGGAGCUGAAAUUAGUCGAAGAUACCAGCUGGCUGCAACUGUUUAUUAAAAACACAGCACUGUGCAAACACGAAAGUGGACGUAUACGGUGUGACGCCUGCCCGGUGCCGGAAGGUUAAUUGAUGGGGUUAGCGGUAACGCGAAGCUCUUGAUCGAAGCCCCGGUAAACGGCGGCCGUAACUAUAACGGUCCUAAGGUAGCGAAAUUCCUUGUCGGGUAAGUUCCGACCUGCACGAAUGGCGUAAUGAUGGCCAGGCUGUCUCCACCCGAGACUCAGUGAAAUUGAACUCGCUGUGAAGAUGCAGUGUACCCGCGGCAAGACGGAAAGACCCCGUGAACCUUUACUAUAGCUUGACACUGAACAUUGAGCCUUGAUGUGUAGGAUAGGUGGGAGGCUUUGAAGUGUGGACGCCAGUCUGCAUGGAGCCGACCUUGAAAUACCACCCUUUAAUGUUUGAUGUUCUAACGUUGGCCCGUAAUCCGGGUUGCGGACAGUGUCUGGUGGGUAGUUUGACUGGGGCGGUCUCCUCCUAAAGAGUAACGGAGGAGCACGAAGGUUGGCUAAUCCUGGUCGGACAUCAGGAGGUUAGUGCAAUGGCAUAAGCCAGCUUGACUGCGAGCGUGACGGCGCGAGCAGGUGCGAAAGCAGGUCAUAGUGAUCCGGUGGUUCUGAAUGGAAGGGCCAUCGCUCAACGGAUAAAAGGUACUCCGGGGAUAACAGGCUGAUACCGCCCAAGAGUUCAUAUCGACGGCGGUGUUUGGCACCUCGAUGUCGGCUCAUCACAUCCUGGGGCUGAAGUAGGUCCCAAGGGUAUGGCUGUUCGCCAUUUAAAGUGGUACGCGAGCUGGGUUUAGAACGUCGUGAGACAGUUCGGUCCCUAUCUGCCGUGGGCGCUGGAGAACUGAGGGGGGCUGCUCCUAGUACGAGAGGACCGGAGUGGACGCAUCACUGGUGUUCGGGUUGUCAUGCCAAUGGCACUGCCCGGUAGCUAAAUGCGGAAGAGAUAAGUGCUGAAAGCAUCUAAGCACGAAACUUGCCCCGAGAUGAGUUCUCCCUGACUCCUUGAGAGUCCUGAAGGAACGUUGAAGACGACGACGUUGAUAGGCCGGGUGUGUAAGCGCAGCGAUGCGUUGAGCUAACCGGUACUAAUGAACCGUGAGGCUUAACCUU